rnacentral:lncRNA from 1 species
GGCUAGGAUAGAGUGAAUAAUGAAAAAGUAUUUCCAUAGGUUUUACAUAAAAACUCAUGUUAAAUAAUCUUAUAUAUGACAGACGAUGGGGUUUGAUGAGUUUUUCAUAACUUUUAUUUCAUUGAAACUUACGAUAAAAGAACUGAAUUACAUAGUAACUACUCUUAGAGAUGUUAGAAAUCACCCUGGUUUUAUACGUGUAGUUUAAAAUUUUUUAAAAUUUUAUGUAGUAGA